rnacentral:rRNA from 1 species
GACAGAGGCCUCGAGCGUUAGGCGGAAUCACUGGGCUUAAAGCGUGUGUAGGCGGGUCGUAAGUGUCGUUGUGAAAUCCCACGGCUCACCCGUGGAACUGCUGGGCAUACUGGCGAUCGUUGGGCCAUUCAGGGGCAACUGGAACAAGCGGUGGAGCGGUGAAAUGCGUAGAUAUCGCUUGGAACGCCGACGGUGGAAAACAGGUUGCUGGGGAUGGUGCCG